rnacentral:misc_RNA from 1 species
GAUGAAGAACGCAGCGAAAUGCGAUACGUAAUGUGAAUUGCAGAAUUCAGUGAAUCAUCGAGUCUUUGAACGCACAUUGCGCCCUCUGGUAUUCCGGGGGGCAUGCCUGUCCGAGCGUCAUUGCUGCCCUCAAGCACGGCUUGUGUGUUGGGCCUCCCCGUCCCGGUUCUCCAGCCGGGACGGGCCCGAAGGGCAGCGGCGGCACCGUGUCCGGUCCUCGAGUGUAUGGGGCUCUGUCACCCACUCGUGUAGGCCCGGCCGGCGGCCAGCAUCUUUCAACCAAAACUUCUUUAACCAGGUUGACCUCGGAUCAGGUAGGGAUACCCGCUGAACUUAAGCAUAUCAAUAAGCGGAGGA